UCUAAUGUGGCAGAGUCAUGCAGCAGGUUUAAGCCCUGCCUACAGGAGUACUUCCUCUUUAGAA
rnacentral:tRNA from 1 species